rnacentral:rRNA from 1 species
GAUGAACGCUGGCGGCGUGCCUAAUACAUGCAAGUCGAGCGAACAGACGAGGAGCUUGCUCCUUUGACGUUAGCGGCGGACGGGUGAGUAACACGUAGGUAACCUACCUAUAAGACUGGGAUAACUUCGGGAAACCGGAGCUAAUACCGGAUAAUAUUUCGAACCGCAUGGUUCGAUAGUGGAAGAUGGCUUUGCUAUCACUUAUAGAUGGACCUGCGCCGUAUUAGCUAGUUGGUAAGGUAACGGCUUACCAAGGCAACGAUACGUAGCCGACCUGAGAGGGUGAUCGGCCACACGGGAGCUGAGACACGGUCCAGACUCCUACGGGAGGCAGCAGUAGGGAAUCUUCCGCAGUGGGCGAAAGCCUGACGGAACAGCGCCGCGUGAGUGAUGAAGGUCUUCGGAUCGUAAAACUCUGUUAUUGGGGAAGAACAAACGUGUAAGUAACUGUGCACGUCUUGACGGUACCUAAUCAGAAAGCCACGGCUAACUACGUG